UGGGUGUGUCCCUCAACUGCUUUAUUGAGAAUUGCAGCCAGUACAGGUUGGUCUGGUGAACAUUUUUAACAUUGCGCUUCCAUCAUCUGGGACCCAGGAAUUGAGGGCCCCCUAGCAACUGGGACCUCCAGGCCCCUUGUGAGCGUGAGAGCACAGAGGGGUGGGUGGGCACCCCAGGAGGGAGAUGCAGCUCCACCCAGCCCUGCUGAACUCCACUGCUUAGUAGGUCCCAGCUCCGGGCAGGACGAAGGGCUGCACACAGGCCUCCCACAAAGCAUCUGCAGCCGCCAGGUCCCUGGUAGCCACGGUCCUCACUUGCAGGCCCUCCACAAGUCCCAGAGGCCCGGCUCCUCCCCUGGGAAAUGAGGGUGGGGUGGAGUCCUCUCCGUGGCGGGCCAGGGGAUGCAGCCUGGGGGCUCAGCGGGGCCCCUAGGGGACAGGUGAGCAGCGAGACGCUCAUCAGUGGCUGUAGUUGUGGACAACGCAUUUGGUCCAGCCGGCAGGAUCUCAGGCUUCCAGGCACCACCUUGCCCAGCUGCUUCAAGACUUCCACAAGCCCUUUUUGAACCUGGGCAAAUGCAUCUUUCCUGUCAGGGAAAGGAGGACACAGGUGCGUGUGCACUCUGUGCAGAGCCGACACCAGGCCAGGAGUGGGUGGGCAGGGGCACCCGGCUGGUCUCAGCCCUGCCUUCCCGGCCACACCUCAGACCACCAGGGAGCUCCCAAGUUCUGCCCACCCUAGUGCUGCUCCAAGAGGCUGCUCAGGGAGAGACCCCUUCCAGCCAGGGCUGGCUCUCAGUCCCUCUCGGUUCCUCACAGGAAUUCCAGAAGCCACAGACAAACUGACCCACCCACACUGAUGGGCAGAGAGCAGCCCCUCAGUCAGCCUCCCUUGAGCAGCUCAGCCCAGCCGUGGUGGGUGGCCCCAGCGUCUCCCACACCAUCUGCAGGCAGCCCCCGCAGGCCAGCAUGGGUGUCUGCUCCACACGAACAUACACCCAUCACACAUGCACACACAUGCACAUGUGCACUCCUACACAUUUACACACACAAACCAACACAUACAACACCCUGUACAUGCACACACAAGCACACAUAUCCAUACACGUGCACACACUUCUGCACAUGCACGUACUCACAUGCACACAUGCCCAUACACAUGCAUGCACAUGUGCACAUGCCUAUGCACGUGCACACAUGUAGACAGGUACACAUGCCCAUACACACAUGCACACAUUACAUACAUGCACAGUACACACGCAUGCACUCACACAGAGACAGACACACCCGUGGGUGCACACACUGCUCCUGUCCAGGUGACCCUAAGUAUUCUUUAUCUGGGGACAAGGCCCUCUGUCGAGAAACACCAUUUAUAAUCGCAGUGCUCCCUUGAGUUUGGGACAGACGACUAACUCCCACCUCUCAGUCCACCUUCCUCCUGCCCUAAGCCACUACUGAAAUCAUGGAAGGACCAUAACUGGGCGUCCAUCUCUCCAACGGACAGCAUGUGUCACAGCCAUCAAAGAAGUGGGUAGAGUCUAGGGAAGGUGGGAUUCUGAGAGACCCCAACAAGGCCACCACAGCUUUCCUGAGGGGAAAGCACACAGGCUUCACAGACGCCAGGGCUGUGGAUGAGCCGGAGGCAGUCAUUGCCCAGCAAGCUCUCCCCGUGUGCACAGGAGCCCCUCCCAGAUGAGACCACCCCACAAAGCAAAACCAGUGAGUCUAAACAUUUCCCUCCUUCUUUCAUAUGGCCUGGAAAUAUGAACAGGAACCUUCAUGGUUUCUAGCACAAACCCAUGUUUACACUCAAUCUGGGAAAGCGCAAAAAAAGAGCCAGUAAAAAACUCAUAGGAGACGUCAAAAUACGCAGCAUCGGCCUGGGAAGUCAGACCAAGUGUCCUGAUGUGAGAAUUACAAGAAACAGGAGCAAACACUGGGAAAUGUUGACUUUGAAAAGAUCACAGCAACAUAGUAGACUCAGCUAAAAUAACCCCCUCUCCUCGCAGACACGUUGAAAUUCUGGAAAAAGUCAGUUUCGCAAAGUUAAUACCUAUCUGAGGUCACAGGAGAGCUAAAAACCUCAUGUGCUGAAAAGAAAAACAAAGUGAGAGGCUUCAAUGAAUGGGAAGUGGGGAGAGUGGUGUAUCAGGCACAGAAAUACCCUCUCAGGAUAGAAGCUUGGGGUGAGGGGUACCCACAGACCUGGGUGAGGGCUGGGAGCUGGAACUGGAACCCCAGGUGACCUGGAAACCGCAAAGAAACGAAGUUCUCCCUAUUGCCAGAGAUGGGCCAGGGAAGCUUUUGCUGCCUAGGUAUCUG
rnacentral:lncRNA from 1 species